CCCUUAGAUGUUCUGGGCCGCACGCGUGCUACACUGAGUGGAUCAGCGGGUCAGGUUACGCGAGAGCGUUUCCUAAUCUUCAAAUCCGCUCGUGAUGGGGAUUGACGGUUGCAAUUUUCCGUCAUGAACGAGGAAUACCUUGUAAGCGCGGGUCAUCAUCCCGCGCUGAAUACGUCCCUGCCCUUUGUACACACCGCCCGUCGCUCCUACCGAUUGAGUGGUCCGGUGAGGCUUUGGGAUCUAAGCGAAAAGAGCGUUUCGCUCCUUUUGCUGGGAGAACUCAGUCGAACCUUAUCAUUUAGAGGAAGGAGAAGGCGUAACA
rnacentral:rRNA from 1 species